UACAGAGGUCCCAAGCGUUGUUCGGAUUCACUGGGCGUAAAGGGUGCGUAGGCGGUCGGGUAAGUCUGAUGUGAAAUCUCACAGCUUAACUGUGAAACUGCAUUGGAUACUAUUCGGCUUGAGAGUUGGAGGGGGGACUGGAAUUCCCGGUGUAGCGGUGAAAUGCGCAGAUAUCGGGAAGAACACCCGUGGCGAAGGCGGCUCUCUGGGACGGUACUGACGCUGAGACGCGAAAGCGUGGGGAGCGAACAGG
rnacentral:rRNA from 1 species